ACAAGAAAUUUGGAUGCGGCAGUGGGCGCAAGCCUGCGGCUGCCAUUCAUACCACAUCUACCUUGUGAACUGUGAACCGAGUGCCUGGCCGGCCGCGCCUAUGCCGGUUUGGUGUAGUGUCGUCGUCGUCGGUUAGGAACCCUUUACAUUAACUGUCUUAAUGAAUUGUCGCAGUCGCGGCACAAAAAUUAAUA
rnacentral:misc_RNA from 1 species